rnacentral:siRNA from 1 species
GAAGUAAUGCCCGCUGCGCC